rnacentral:rRNA from 1 species
AGAGUUUGAUUCUGGCUCAGGAUGAACGCUGGCGGCGUGCUUAACACAUGCAAGUCGAACGGAGUUUUUAAACGGAAGUUUUUGGAUGGAAGUUUAGAAACUUAGUGGCGGACGGGUGAGUAACGCGUGGGUAACCUGCCUCAUACAGGGGGAUAACAGUUAGAAAUGACUGCUAACACCGCAUAAUAUAGCGAAACCGCAUGAUUUUUGCUAUCAAAUAUUUAUAGGUAUGAGAUGGGCCCGCGUCUGAUUAGCUAGUUGGUGGGGUAAAAGCCUACCAAGGCGACGAUCAGUAGCCGGCUUGAGAGAGUGACCGGCCACAUUGGGACUGAGACACGGCCCAAACUCCUACGGGAGGCAGCAGUGGGGAAUAUUGGACAAUGGGGGAAACCCUGAUCCAGCGAACCGCCGCGUGAGUGAAGAAGUAUUUCGGUAUGUAAAGCUCUAUCAGCAGGGAAGAUAAUGACAGUACCUGACUAAGAGGCCCCGGCUAACUACGUGCCAGCCGCAGC